AACGUGGUUUAGUUCUAUGCUAUCAUUAGUCUCUCCAGUUUCCAUUGUUGUCACGAGCUAUCAUAAGAUUAUGUCUUGACAGUUUGACUCAAUUAGGUUUGGUAGAUUUAGUUUCACAGUUCCCACAAGGUUUUUUGUCUCUUCCACAGAAGUUAAGGAUUCGUAAUUGUCUUGUUCUGGGGGAUCAUAUUCAUGAUUGGUGUUGAGACAAAUUGUUCUUGGUAUUAGCUAUGAGGGAGCUCUUAAGAAAACUAUUAUGGUUUUUAGCCUUUUAAGUGGAACUAAAAAAGCCUCACUAAUUAAAAAUGCUGCGUAGCCCAUAAAGUUUCCCCAAAUAUAUUUCCCUGAAUCGUAAUCGUCAAUAUUUCUCGAUUAGUAUGUCGAUUACGUGGUUUAAUGGCUUCUUCACGUUUUGAGAUCAUCAUCGCCGUCCAGAUUCGCCAUUACAAGUGAGAUGGAUAACACCGUUUUUUGGUUUGUAUUGGGGAUAACAAAGCUACCUAGGAUUUAAGCUAUUUGCUGCCGUUGAUGGAACUAAUCGGAUAUGAGCCAAUCACCACCGCAACCAUUCAGGUCACCACUCUCUCUUCUUUGUUUGUACGCAUGUAUCUGUAUGUAUCUAUCACAACUCAAUUCUCAAUUGUGUGUUUAAUUUCUUUCUUUCACUUUUGUUGCAAUUCAAGUUUCAAUUAUAGUCAGAUCUGAUAUUGAUUCAUUCAAGUACUACUAUCAUGCAUGUUUGUUUGAUUUUAUCUAUUAAACUAUCGAGAUUCUCAUCGUGUGGUUUAAUUGUAAUGUUUUGGUGAUGGUGAUUGGUGAGCAUGAAUCUAGGUGAUAUGCAAUCGUAAGAAAUUCUAUUUUAACUUUUUGAUAAAACUGAAAUGGAAUUGCAUUAUAAUGUUUUAACUUCUGUUAUCGGCGUAGAUCUAUGAUUGGAUAAGUACAAUUUCUACGAGAUAUCUGUUUCACUCGGCGUGUCAGCUGUAAAACUUGAAUUUUCUGUUUCUGAAAAUACGAGAUUGAUUUGGGAGAUAGUUCAUAAUUAUGUGGAUUUGGAUGUUGUGAAUCAUGGUGUAACGGAGGUUACGUUUUGAAUCCAUAAUUAUCAUGAUUUUUAGAUAUUUAGGCAAUAAUUUAUUCUUAAAUUAGAUUGGCUUUAAUUACGAGAUCUCUUUUAUUCUCUAUUCAUUAUUUGUCUCCAUUAGCUUUAAUUAGAACAGUUACAUUUUGAAUUGUAAUUGUGAUUGGAUAAAUAUUCUUUAUGAAUAUUUAAAUACCUUUAAGUACCAUUUAUGGGAGUCAUUAAUCAUGACUUUAUUGUGCCUUUAAUGGCUUUAUUGUGCCUUUAAUGGGGCUUUAUUGUGCCUUUAAUGGCUUUUUGUUCCAAUUUGGAUGCCAUUUUUAUGGCUUAUUUGACUUGUUGAUGAUUAUAUAUAAUAUAUUUAAUCAUGUUUUAAACUUUAUUUUAUUCAUCACUUAAAUUAUUAAUUUUUAAUGUGUCUAACCAAAGGAUUUUCCUUUGGUUAGAAAUUAGUUUAUAUUUCUAUAUUUUUUAAUUUAUUUUUGUUAUAUAUACUCUUUUGUUUUGUUUUUAUUAGAUUUUCUAUCAUUUUUACAUUACAUUAAAUAUAUAUAUAUAUGUGUGUGUGUGUGCGCGCGCGCGUGUGUGUGAUUUACUUGUAUACAGAUUUAUGUUUUUUUGGUUUGUUUUGUUUUUUUCAGGAUAAUUUGGAAGCGAGCUGGUUCGUGGCUUAUGGGUGUUCUUUUCUCAUUCAUUUAAGCUUUAUUGUCUAAGCGUCCGGAGUUGUGCUUGCAUGACUUUCGGUUAGAUGAUAAACUUUCUUGAAAGAAAGAUAUCCCGGAUGCGGUUUAUUGUAUUUCGAUACAAUUCAUCUACGUAUAUGUAGACCUUACAAAAAAAAAAAAAAAAAAAAAAAAUAUUUUUCUUCUUCUUUACCAAGACACUGUCAAUCUUUAUUGUUCUUCGGCUAGCACUUCAAACCAAAUGUAACACUUUUUUUAGAUAAACCGAGCUAACUUUUAUUUACAAAGAGUACCUUUUUUUUUUUUGGUCAUAAUUUACAAAGAGUACUUGAAUAAAAAAGUAUACAUAAAAAGAGUUGAAAUAUCAGACGCAC
rnacentral:lncRNA from 1 species